AAUCCAUAGGUUAAUGAGGCGAACCGGGGGAACUGAAACAUCUAAGUACCCCGAGGAAAAGAAAUCAACCGAGAUUCCCCCAGUAGCGGCGAGCGAACGGGGAGGAGCCCAGAGCCUGAAUCAGCAUGUGUGUUAGUGGAAGCGUCUGGAAAGGCGCGCGAUACAGGGUGACAGCCCCGUACACAAAAGCGCAUGUGCUGUGAGCUCGAUGAGUAGGGCGGGACACGUGGUAUCCUGUCUGAAUAUGGGGGGACCAUCCUCCAAGGCUAAAUACUCCUGACUGACCGAUAGUGAACCAGUACCGUGAGGGAAAGGCGAAAAGAACCCCGGCGAGGGGAGUGAAAAAGAACCUGAAACCGUGUACGUACAAGCAGUGGGAGCACAGGUUUACCUGUGUGACUGCGUACCUUUUGUAUAAUGGGUCAGCGACUUAUAUUCUGUAGCAAGGUUAACCGAAUAGGGGAGCCGGAGGGAAACCGAGUCUUAAUUGGGCGUUAAGUUGCAGGGUAUAGACCCGAAACCCGGUGAUCUAGCCAUGGGCAGGUUGAAGGUUGGGUAACACUAACUGGAGGACCGAACCGACUAAUGUUGAAAA
rnacentral:rRNA from 1 species